rnacentral:misc_RNA from 1 species
AAAUGCGAUAAGUAAUGUGAAUUGCAGAAUUCAGUGAAUCAUCGAAUCUUUGAACGCACAUUGCGCCCGCCAGUAUUCUGGCGGGCAUGCCUGUCCGAGCGUCAUUUCAACCAUCAAGCCCCCGGGCUUGUGUUGGGGACCUGCGGCUGCCCGCAGGCCCUGAAAACCAGUGGCGGGCUCGCUGACACACCGAGCGUAGUAGCAAUCACCUCGCUCAGGGCGUGCUGCGGGUUCCGGCCGUUAAACAGCCUUACAAAACCCAAGGUUGACCUCGGAUCAGGUAGGAAGACCCGCUGAACUUAAGC